ACACACAGACACAAUUCAUCUUCUUGCCAGGAUUGACAGGUGCUGUUUUGAUAAGCACGGGAACCAUCAGUUCAAGGUAUCAGUCUUUAGACCAAGUAGAGUUUAGAUGAGCAGAAUCUUUUAAUUUGUUGAGAAUUGUGAGAAUGACAGUUGCACACAGUUCCUUUUUUUUUUUUUUUUCAUUCUUUCCCUCUUCAUUUGUACCAUUUCUGUAUCUAAAACUAUGGAAGAGUUAGAUGUGUCUCUAGUACGGGGCUUUGGCUGUAGAAACUACACAGGGCAUUUGGUCCCACUUUGAGCAGUUGUCCUUUUAGACUCACAUGAAUUAAGGAAAUCCAAAAAUACAAAACAAGCUCCAGCUGAAUUUAAAUUCCAGGUUUGUGGGUCUAGGAAUUUCAGAGACCUAAGAGGAUACCUAAAGAUUCAGAUGUAUUCUAUGGACAUCAGCUGUAAAAAAGUGCCUUCUUUUUAAUACUUAAUUUUUUAAUUCUUCAUUUAAUAUUUGGCUACAGUCGCCACCGAAAUAAUGUUACAUAUUUGGAGACUCCAUUGACCUCUGGAAUAUUUGCUAGGUUAUUUUCUUUCUUGUUUACUUCAUAAAACCAUUCCUUCGUCUGUUCAGAAGUUUCUUUUGGAACUGCAGGUGUGUGUUGAAAGCCAGAUGUAAAUUAAAUUACAACAUAUGCAGAAGGGAUCCCUUACAGAUGGAAAAUGCAUAUUUUCAGCUGACCUACUCCUCAGGUAACAAUGGGUGGGAGUAAAAUAUUUAUUGUAGACUAUGUAAUUACCAUUUUAUUAUUAUUUUUUAAAGCUUCAAAAUUGUAAUCAAACAGCAUUCAUGGGAUUGAGUUGCAGAAAAUGAGGAAUUGGAGGGAAAUUUUCAAUCAGAAGCAAGUUCAUUGAGAAAUAGGUUUAGGAACUUUCACCCAAGACGGCAGGUGUCAGUCAAGAAUAUAAUUCAGGGAAUCAAACUAUAAUCUGGAAAAUGGAGAGUCCACAUAAAAUUUUAUUCUACAAUCUGAGAAGAUUUAUUUUAUUUUAAUGACCAUCACUGGAUAGCUGUUUGGCCAGUUGUGCUGAGGAUAUUGCAUAGAGUUUCCUGUGCUCCACAGAGGUCACUGGGAGGAUGUGACUGCUGGUUGACCCAUGAGCUGGAACCAGGCACUUGGAGGCUCCUCACCCCCACCUCUGUUCUUGGAAUGAAUAUCCUGCCCACAUUACUCACAGCCAAAGUCUUUUUCAAGAAUGUGGCCUGGAGAGAGCAACGCAUUGUUGAGAACCUCUGAAUAGUAGAUAUGGCUGAAGCUCAUGAAGGCCUCUAUAUAAACUUUUAAGAUUCUGGUGGGCCAUGCAGAGAUCUGUUCAUCUCGUGGCUGCCCAAGACAAGCCUCAGAAUACCUUGACUUCUGAGACUCUGGUUGGAAGCUUUACGUUAUUGCCUUCUGCUCAGGGAUCUACCUUCACUGAAAAUCGGUAAAUGCCGCCAGGAAAAAGCAGUAAAGAAUGUCAGGAUGUUGACCUUCUCCUAGGGAUCUGGGAGUAAUACAACUAAACUUGUUAUAGCUGGAAAUAAUAGCACCUCCCUCCUGAGUAUUUCGUUAUUUCUCUGAAUUAACACGUACCUUUUUUUUUUUUUUUUUUUUUAAACUGCGUUCUUUUGUUAGUCUAUGAACUUCUGGAAAACGGGUGACUCCCUUUCACUUUAAAUGGCUUGAUUGAGACAAAAUUCACUGUCUGUAAAAGUACCCAUUGUAAGUGUACAGUGAUUUUUACUAAAUUUGUAAACCUGAUAACCACACCACAAUCAAGUUUUAGCAUAGUUCUAUCACCCCCAAAAGUCCCCUCAUGACUAUUUACAGUUAAUACUUGCUGCCAUCCUGGCCCUGGGCAGCCAUUGAUGUGCUUACUAUCCCUACAGAUUUACCUUUUGUAGAUUUUUAACGUAAAGGGAAUCAUGCUAUGUGUGGCCUUCUGCGCCUGGCUUCUGUGCCUUAGUAUAUAAUGUUUUUUGAAGUUCAUUUAUGUAGUAACAGAUAGUUGUUUUUAUCUUUUUUUUCUGAGUAAUAUUCCAUUGCAUAAAUAUGCAACAUUUUGUUUAUCGACUUACCUGUUCAUUAGGAUUGCUUUUAGUUUUUGGCUAUUAUGAAUAAUGCUUCUGUUGACAUUCAUAUAUAUGUCUUUGUGUGAACAUGUUUUCCAUUCAUGUUGGGUAAAUUUCUAGCAAGGAAUUGCUGAGUUAUAUGAAAGGUGAUGGUUAGCUUAAAAAAAAAAAUCACCAAAUUGUUUCACAAAGUAGUGGCACAGUUUUACAUUUCAUUACCAAUUUCUUCCAGAAUUUUACUUGUUUUUCUAUUUUUUGUCUUUUCUUAUUUUUUAAAUUGAAGAGUAGUUAAUAUACAAUGUGUUAGUUUCACAUGUACAGCAAUGUGAUUCAGUUUUAUAUACAUAUAUGUAUAUUUAUAUACAUAUGUAUUCUUUUCAGAUUCUUUUCCCUUAGACGUUAUUACAAAAUAAUGAGUAUAGUUCCCUGUGAUGUACCCAAAUCCUGUUGGUUAUCUAUUUUAUAUGUCGCAGUGUGUAUAUGUUAAUCCAAAACUCCUAAUUUGUACCUCCCUCCCCCUUUCCCCUUUGUAACCAUAAGUAUGUUUUCUAUGUUUGUGGCUCUAUUUCUGUUUUGUAUAUAAGGUCAUUUGUGUGUGUGUCUCUCUCUCUUUUUUUAGAUUCUACAUAUAAGUGAUAUCAUGUGAUAUUUGUUUUUGUCUGGCUUACUUCACUUAGUAUGAUAAUCUCUGGGUCCAUCAUGUUGUCGCAAAUGGCAUUAUUUCAUUCUUUUUUUAUGGCUGAGUAAUUCCGUAAUGUAUAUAUGCCAUGUUUUCUUGAUCCAUUUAUCUGUUGGUGAACAUUUAGUUGCUCCAUGUCCUGGCUAUUAUCAAUGGUGCUGCCAUGAACACUGGGGUGCUUGUAUCUUUUCAAAUUAUGGUUUUCUGUGCCAGAAUGAUCCUGGCACAGAAGCAGAAAUAUAGGUCAACAGAACAGGAUAGAAAGCCCAGAAAUAAACCCAUGUACCUAUGGCCGAUUAAUCUACGAGAAAGAAGGCAAGAGUAUACAAUGGAGAAAAGACAGUCUUUUCACUAAAUGGUGCUGGGAAAAAUGGACAGCUACAUGUAAAAGAAUGAAAUUAGAACAUUUUCUAACACCAUACAUAAAAAUAAACUUGAAAUGGAUUGAAGACCUAAAUGUAAAACAGGAUACUAUAAAACUCCAUGAGGAAAACAUAGGCAGAACACUGACAUAAAUCACUGCAAUAUUUUUUUGGAUCUGUCUCAGAGAGUACUGGAAAUAAAAAUAAACAGAUGGAACCCUUUUCUUAAUGGUGUCCUUCAAAGUGCAGCUUUUUAAUAUUAAUAAAGCCCAAUAUAUUGGUUUAUUUUCAUUAUGGAUGGUGCUUUUUGCACUAUAUCUGAAAGUCUUUGCCUUAUUCAGUGUAAUAAACAUUUUGUCUUAUACUUUCUUCUAGUUUUAUAGGCUUAGUUCAUACAUUUAUGUUUAUGAUUCAUUUUUAGUUAAUUUUUAUAUGUUUGUGAGGUCAGGGUCUACAUUUAAUUUAUUUCUUUGUAUGUGCAUACCCAAUGAUCUCAGCACCAUUUUUUGAGAAAACCAGCCUUUCCACAUUAGAUUGUGUUGGCAUCUUUGUUAAAAUGUAAGAGUUUAUUUCUGGAACCUUUUUUUGCAUUGAUCUAUAUGUCUAUCCUUAUGUUAGUACCACAGUCUUGAUUACUAUGGCUGUAGAGUAUGUUGUGAAAUUAGCUAGGGUAAAUCAUCUAAAUUUGUUCAUUUUCAAAAUUGUUUUGGCUAUUCUAUAUCCUUUACUUUUCCAUAAAGAUUUUGGGAUCAACUUCUAAAUUUCUGUAAAAAAAAUCCUACUGGGAUUUUGAUGAGGAUUGAAUUGAAGUUAUACACUGAUUUGGCAAUAUUGAGUCUUCUAUAUGAACGUGAGAAAUCUUUCCAUUUAUUUAGAUUUUCUUUACUUUCUUUUAGCAAUUAUAGUUUUUUUGGGUGGGGAGGGAGGCUUUAUUGUAAUUUUCAGUGUGUAAGUUUUAUAGUUCUUUUGUUAAAGUAAUUCUUAAAUUUUUUUUAUGUCAUUGUGAAUAGAACUGUUUUCAUUUCAUCUUUAGACUGCUGAUUGCCUAUAGAAAUAAAAUUAAUUUUUAUGUGUUGAGUUUGAACCCUGUGACUU
rnacentral:lncRNA from 1 species